GAAUCUUGCGCAAUGGGCGAAAGCCUGACGCAGCCAUGCCGCGUGAAUGAUGAAGGUCUUAGGAUUGUAAAAUUCUUUCACCGGGGACGAUAAUGACGGUACCCGGAGAAGAAGCCCCGGCUAACUUCGUGCCAGCAGCCGCGGUAAUACGAAGGGGGCUAGCGUUGCCCGGAAUUACUGGGCGUAAAGGGCGCGUAGGCGGAUCGUUAAGUCAGAGGUGAAAUCCCAGGGCUCAACCCUGGAACGGCCGUUGAUACUGGCGAUCUUGAGUAUGAGAGAGGUAUGUGGAACUCCGAGUGUAGAGGUGAAAUUCGUAGAUAUUCGGAAGAACACCAGUGGCGAAGGCAACCCCCUGGGCCUGUACUGACGCUCAUGCACGAAAGCGUGGGGAGCAAACAG
rnacentral:rRNA from 1 species